rfam:Gossypium raimondii chromosome 1, whole genome shotgun sequence.
AUCUCAUGAUGAGGACAAUUAUGAAGUAAUUCCUUGGAUCUUUCCCAUGCCUCGUACAAAGAUUUGUCAUCCAAUUGUUGGAAAGUUGUUAUCUCAUUAUGCAACU